rnacentral:rRNA from 1 species
AUUACAAGUGAAAAACUUAAAACUCAAAGGACUUGACGGCAUUCCACAUCACACUAGAGGAGCCUGUCCUAUAAUCGAUAACCCACGCUACACCUCACCUGCCCUUGCACAAACCAGCCUAUAUACCGCCGCCCACCGCCCGCCUUACAAAAGCAACACAGCGGGCCAACUAGCCCCCCGCUUACACGUCAGGUCAAGGUGUAGCUCACGGGCAGGAAGAGAUGGGCUACAUUUUCUCCUCACCAGAACACACCANNNNNNNNNNNNNACCGUGCCCUAAAGGAGGAUUUAGCAGUAAGCCGGGCAAGAUACGCCCAACUGAA